rnacentral:snRNA from 1 species
GUGCUUGCUUCGGCAGCCCAUAUACUAAAACUGAAACGAUACAGAGAUUAGUAUGGUUUCUUUGCAAAGAUGACAUGCAAAUUUGUGAAGUGUUUCAUCUUUAA